CCCUUAGAUGUUCUGGGCCGCACGCGCGCUACACUGAACAGUUCAACAAGUCUUAACCUUGGCCGAUAGGUCUGGGUAAUCUUUGAACGCUGUUCGUGAUUGGGAUAGACCUUUGCAAUUAUGGGUCUUCAACGAGGAAUUCCUAGUAAACGCAAGUCAUCAGCUUGCAUUGAUUACGUCCCUGCCCUUUGUACACACCGCCCGUCGCACCUACCGAUUGAAUGGUCCGGUGAAAUCUCGGGACGGCGGCUUGGUCGCUUGCGUCCGACUGCUGAAACUUGAUUAAACCAUAUCAUUUAGAGGAAGGUGGAGUCGUAACA
rnacentral:rRNA from 1 species